CCAGUUUCUCACACACACUGUAAAUAUUUGUUGAGUAGAGACGUGUUUUGUAUAUACAUAUGUGGCGUCUUGCUGAUCACCCGAUUUUUAUGGAUUAUGUUGUGCAUCCUGUCACAGACGUCCCAGUCCAGAUAGAGUGCACCGUACUGCCUGGAGGGGACCCCGAAAACGAGAUUUACUGGAUCGUUAAUCAAUCCUUCAUUGCAAAAUAUCCGGAGCUUCACCAGAACCUGAGCAUAGAGAGAAGAGAGGACGGCCAGCUGUAUGCUGUCUCCACACUGACGAUUACUGCGGCUCGUCCGGAGUUCUUCCAAGUCCCUUUUGCUUGUGUUGCAUUCAACCCUGCUGGCAGGGAUGUGGGUCACUUGCAGCUGAUCCCUGGUGAGUGCCCUAUGAAACACACAUCACAGAUCCAUUGUGCUAUAUAUACUCUGAUAUAUAUUCUGAUUUUUUUAUGCGGCCUCAGUUCACUCCAGGCACUUCUACACCUGCAUGGUCAGCCUGGGGCUCUUCAUGUUGGUCAUUGUUGCAUUGUACAGCCUUUGUUGUGCUAAAGACUGUUGCCGCAGGUCCAGUGAAGCAGGUGAGCAUCCUCAGGAAGAAGAAGAUUAUCAUCAUUAUGCCCCUUUCUCAGUAGUUUUGUCUAAAAAGUUCAGUUUAUUACAUGGCGGCAGGGCAUCAAGGUCCCAGCAAACUGCUCACUAAGGGUGAUGGGUUAAAAGCAGAAGACAUAUUUCGUGGUGUGCUGUGUGCUGUGUAUCACAAUCACUUUCACUUAAAGCGCUGAAAUAUAAUGGUGGGUGGUGAGACCAAAGUUUCUUAAAAACAGAAAUCUAUACUAUACCGUACUAGAAAACUAUUUACCACGACUGGACUGGAACUGAUGCAUUUUGGAGGGCUGAAAUAAGCAUGUGGGCAUUUCCCAUAGAAGCAUGUUUAUUCUAACUUAAUUCUGACUCUUCUCUGCUGAGGACGUUCUAAUGCGCUUUUGAAAUGUCAAUUCCAGCAGAUCCCUCAGCUACAGACAACGCUUGCUCUAAUCUCAGUGGACGUGAGUGAAGGCGAGUGCUGCAAGAUGAUGACACCAAAGAUCGAGUUGCUGAAGUACUGAAGUACUGAAGUACUGAACACACAACUUAUAUAUGCAAAUGUUUGACUGGUGUAUUAAUAUUUAUUGUAAAGGAGAAAAGCACAUCUCAUAUUUAUGAGGUUGGAUCUCAGGGAAGUGUUAACAAAAGAAAAGUAGCUUAUAAUGUAUGUGUAAUAAUCGAGGUUGAUCCAUUUCACAUUUAAAACAUUUAACCACAAACCGGAAAGAUUUGAAGAGACGCAGAUGUCUUUCUGAUUGAUAGCUCUGCUGCGCAGGAGUCGACUUGUUCGCUCGCUGGAUUCCUCCCAGCAAGGUCAUGCUUCACUUUACCGAGUCUAUUCUCGUAUCUGUUUGCGCUGUAGAAAUGUGGAUGAAAAGGAUUUUUUGGUGUUCUGAGUAUAUUUUUAAACCUCAGGGUGUAGUUGAAUACUUGAGAGGUAAACUGACUAGUUAAUGAGAUCAGCCUGAAGCCUGUAUAGCUGCCAGAAACAGUAUUUACAUUUACAGCAUUUAUCAGAGAGACUUACAAUCAGUAUUUACAGGGACAGUCCCCCCCUGGAGACACUCAGGGUUAAGUGUCUUGCUCAGGGACAUAAUGGUAGUAAGAAGGAUUUGAACCUGGGUCUUCUGGUUCACAGGCGAGUGUUUUACCCCAAGGCUACUAUUAAACUAGUUCCCAACUAGUUAUGAAAGUGCUUUUCUUCAGCUGGAACAGGGCUGGAGUCGAGGUGGAGGAGAAAAUGAAGGUUUUGGGACGACCCAGCCUGAGAACAGACCUAAAUCCACGAGGUGACCUGAAGAGACGCCCUCGCUAUCUGACAGGUCUGGGACACUUUUGCAAGGGAGAGUGGACAAAAGCUGCCAUGUCGAGAUGUGCCAUGCUGAAAGACUCCAGCCCAGGAAGACUGAAUGCCGAUAUUAAAUCAAAAUGGGGAAUUAAUAAAAU
rnacentral:lncRNA from 1 species